UGGUCAAGUUAUUAAGGGUGCAGGGCGGAUGCCUUGGCACUAGGAGCCGAUGAAGGACGUGAUAAGCUGCGAUAAGCUUCGGGGAGUUGCACGUAAACUUUGAUCCGAAGAUUUCCGAAUGAGGAAACUCACUUAGAGUAAUGUCUAAGUAUCAUUAAGUGGAUACAUAGCUUAAUGAGGGGACCUCAGUGAACUGAAACAUCUAGGUAACUGAAGGAAGAGAAAGAAAUUCGAUUCCGUAAGUAGCGGCGAUCGCACGAGACUUAGACCAAACCAAUACAGUGUUAUGUAUUGGGGAUGAGGACAUAUCAUAACGAAGAGGUAUCGUAAUUGAAGAGGUUUGGAAAGACCCACCACAGAAGGUAAUAGUCCUGUAUGUUAAACGAGAAGACUUUAGAUAUGAUCCAGAGUACCACGGGACACGUGAAACCCUGUGGGAAGCAGGAGGGACCACCCGCCAAGGCGAAAUCCUACACAGUGACCGAUAGCGUAGAGUAGCGUGAGGGAAAGGGGAAAAGAACCCCUGGAGGGACGUGAAAUAGAACCUGAAACCCUGUACUUACAAGCUGUGGAGGCACAUUGCGUGUGUGACCGCGUUCUUUUUGUAGAACGGGCCAACGAGUUACGUUAAGUAGCAAGGUUAAGCACUUAAGGUGUGGAGCCGUAGCGAAAGCGAGUUUUAAC
rnacentral:rRNA from 1 species